GAAUGCACUCCCAGGACUGCUACUUCCACAAGAAAUGUUGUUUUUGUUCGAAAUAAUCCAUAUUUUUAUCUAAAUACCUCUGUUUUGUUCGUGAGUUCAGGUUUUCUCAGGUUUUUGCCUGCCAUAUGAGUUCUAUUAUACUCACAGACACCAUUCAAACAGUUUUAGAAACUUCAGAGUGUUUUCUAUCCAAAUCUACUAAUAAUAUGCAUAUUCUAGUUCCUGGGCCGGAGUAGUAACCAGAUUAAUUUGGGUACGUUUUUCAUCCUGCCGUGAAAAUACUGCCCCCUAUACCUUAAGAAUUUAAGGAGGAAGCAGCCUGCACAAAGGGGCAGAGGAGGUGAGAGAAAAGGGAGGUAUGAAGAGUGAGUGAGAAGAGAGGUAUGAAGGGUGAGUGAGAAGAGAGGUAGGAAGAGUGAGAGAGGAGAGGUAUGAAGAGUGAGUGAGAAGAGAGGUAUGAAGAGUGAGUGAGAAGAGAGGUAUGAAGAGUGAGUGAGAAGAGAGGUAUGAAGCGUGAGAGAGCAGAGCGGUAUGAAGAGUGAGAGACAAGGGAGGUAUGAAGAGUGAGUGAGCAGAGAGGUAUGAAGGGUGAGUGAGAAGAGAGGUAGGAAGAGUGAGAGAGGAGAGGUAUGAAGAGUGAGAGACAAGGGAGGUAUGAAGAGUGAGUGAGAAGAGAGGUAUGAAGCGUGAGAGAGCAGAGCGGUAUGAAGAGUGAGAGACAAGGGAGGUAUGAAGAGGUGAGUGAGUGAGUGAGUGAGUGAGUGAGUGAGUGAGUGAGUGAGUGAGUGAGUGAGUGAGUGAGUGAGUGAGUAUGGUAUGAAGAGUGAGUGAGUGAGAAGAGAGGUAUGAAGAGUGAGAGACAAGGGAGGUAUGAAGAGUGAGAGACAAGGGAGGUAUGAAGAGUGCGACAAGGGAGGUAUGAAGAGUGAGAGACAAGGGAGGUAUGAAGAGUGCGACAAGAGAG
rnacentral:lncRNA from 1 species